GCCGGGCGUGGUGGCGCACGCCUGUAAUCCCAGCACUCAGGAGGCUGAGGCAGGAGGAUCACUGUGAGUUCGAGAGCAGCCUGGGAUACAUAUUGAGUUCCAGGUCAGUCUCGACUACAUAGUGAGACCCUGCCUCAA
rnacentral:SRP_RNA from 1 species